GGUUUCCUCUGACUUCAUGCUGAAUUGUCCUUGAGCAAGACACUGAACCCCAUGUUGCCUCCUGAUGUGUCUGUCGGAUCUGGUAAUUAAUGUGUGUGAU